rnacentral:lncRNA from 1 species
ACCAUGUUGAAGAUUGAAGUGAUUCUCAAAUCUGAUUUGAAAAAUGUAGAGAUUUGUUUUUUGUUUUUUUUUUUCCAAUGUAAAGAUGUAGAGAAUUGAUGUUGUUUGGAUUUUAUUUUAAUAUUAUAUUUUCACAAAAAUUCUUGAUUGUGGGGUUAGUAUUGGAAUAUUUAGUUUAAAAUUGAAAUAUGGGGUGAAGAAAGCAUUUGGUAGGGUGGCAAUAGCCGCACCCUUAAUAUAAACACCCUUCUUUGUAUAAAACCCUAAUUAUUUGCAAUAAAGUAAACCUCUUUUUUACAUUAUGCCGUAUAUUUUGCAUUAAUACCUACGUACCCUAAUGUUUUAAUAUUUAUAUUUUUACAUUCCUAAAAACCAUUAUUCAUAUUUACAAACGUUUUUGAAAAUUCAAUAGACAAUCAUUGUCACGUGACAACAAUCUCAAAUUUCUGACGGGUGACCUAGGUCACUAUGUUCAUUCUAACCUAACAGGUGAACUUGCUAUAAGUGCAGGGAUUUCAACAAGCAGUGUUUACAUGAUCGGUAACUGACCAAGAGAUUCAUGGUUUAGGGUUUACGGUUAGGUCACUAUGUUCAUUCUAACCCAACGGGUGAACUUGCUCUAAGUGCAGGGAUUUCAACAAGCAGUGUUUACAUGAUCAGUAACUGAUCAAGAGAUUCAUGGUCAGUCACCAUUGGAUUUACAUCCAAUAGUUGAAAAUAAAUCAACUCUUCUUAAAAUUAAUUCUCCCCACCAUUGGAUUUAAAUCUAACGGUGAUUGACCAUAAAUCUCUUGGUCAGUCACUAAUUAGGCGAACAUGAGUACUGUUGGCACUUCUACGUGAAUCAAUAUCAAUCUUGGUAAGAUUAGAAGCAUUGUCGUCGAUAGAGCAAUAGUGACCGAGUAUAGCAUCGAUCACUGCCAAUUGGGUUUGAGAGUGGUGGUGAUGACCUUAUUCUAGAAGUCGUUGUCGAAAAGUUUAUCUCAAGGUACCUUUCUACAUCUAAUUAGAUUGCAACCAUUUUAUCAUCUCAAAGAGCUUGAGUGAUGACACCUACCAAUUGACCCGAUCUAUGAGCCACUAAUUUCUGAAUCUUUUCCUAAAUUGGCACUAAUUUAUGUCUUGAUUAUAAGAAACUAGCUAAAUAUAUAUGGUAAAUAUAUGGUGGGAUUACUUAGAGAUCAACUAUGGUAAAUAUAUGAUGC